GACGAACGCUGGCGGCGUGCCUAAUACAUGCAAGUAGAACGCUGAAGAGAGGAGCUUGCUCUUCUUGGAUGAGUUGCGAACGGGUGAGUAACGCGUAGGUAACCUGCCUGGUAGCGGGGGAUAACUAUUGGAAACGAUAGCUAAUACCGCAUAAAAUUGCUUAUCGCAUGAUAAUUAAUUGAAAGAUGCAAUUGCAUCACUACCAGAUGGACCUGCGUUGUAUUAGCUAGUUGGUGAGGUAACGGCUCACCAAGGCGACGAUACAUAGCCGACCUGAGAGGGUGAUCGGCCACACUGGGACUGAGACACGGCCCAGACUCCUACGGGAGGCAGCAGUAGGGAAUCUUCGGCAAUGGGGGGAACCCUGACCGAGCAACGCCGCGUGAGUGAAGAAGGUUUUCGGAUCGUAAAGCUCUGUUGUAAGAGAAGAACGGGUGUGAGAGUGGAAAGUUCACAC
rnacentral:rRNA from 1 species